UUUAACAUACAAACGCUUCAGUUWAAGAAUGUCAUUAUUAUUGUGUAUUAACACAUGAAAUACAACUUUCAGCAACGGAUCUCUUGGCUCUCGCAUCGAUGAAGAACGCAGCGAAAUGCGAUAAGUAAUGUGAAUUGCAGAAUUCAGUGAAUCAUCGAAUCUUUGAACGCACCUUGCGCUCCUUGGUAUUCCGAGGAGCAUGCCUGUUUGAGUGUCAUGGUAUUCUCAACCUUCAAAGCUUUGUUGCAGCGAAGGCUUGGAUUUGGAGGYUGUGUYGGCGCAAGUYGACUCCUCUUAAAUGCAUUAGCGUGACUCAUUACGGAUCGCCUUCAGUGUGAUAAUUGUCUACACUGUGGUGUUGAAGUAUAUACACGAGUCUUCAUGCUUACAAUYGUCUCCUAGCGAGACAAAYACAUACAUUGACAAUCUGACCUCAAAUCAGGUAGGACUACCCGCUGAACUUAAGCAUAUCAAUAAGCGGAGGAAAAGAAACUAACAAGGAUUCCCCUAGUAACUGCGAGUGAAGCGGGAAAAGCUCAAAUUUAAAAUCUGGCAGCUUUGGCUGUCCGAGUUGUAGUCUGGAGAAGCGUUUUCCGCGCU
rnacentral:rRNA from 1 species